rnacentral:lncRNA from 1 species
AACGAGGACUGAAAACAUGGCUGUUAAGAGAAGUAUGUGCUGUCGUAAGAGCCUGCAGUGAAGGAGCUGGCCUUGAUGAAGCAGCAGAACGUGAAAUGCCAAAACAGAUGGAGUUGCUUGGAUACAAGGAGAAUCUUACAGAAUACAAAUGAACUUGAAGGCAUUAGUAAUAUUUUCAAAAUAAUAGAGAAAUGACACAAAGAGUGAAAGAGGUGAAAUCUGUCUUUGAUGGGAAUAAUAUCUAAAAGGAGUAUUGUACAUAUCUGCUGGCAGCUUUAAAAAAAUUAAUGAUUACUGAAAUUCAGAAAUGUCAACAGUAUGAAAUGAGCAAAAUUACUUCCCUAACAAGAUUUUAUAAGAGAUAAAGUAGUGGGAUAUUUCCUUGAAAUAAUGUUCAUCAUCAAUGCUGAAGUUUACAGAGGACAAAAAUAUGAAAUCAUGUGUUCAUAGACAGCCCCAGGACACACACAGUGGAUGCAUUGUGUUCUCCUGGGUUGCAUAACUACUUUGAAAGAAGUUUUCUUUUCUGUGUCAUAAAAGAAGACUUUUUGGCUCUGCCAGGAUACUCUACCAUUUGGCCCCAUAGACUUCAAGCAUGCCUGAAGAUACGUGCCA